AAACCUAUCUCAAAAUUAACUAUAUUGGUUUGGUUAAUUGUCCUCAUCCAAGAAACGUUGGUAGCUCCCCUGGGUCACUACAGCAAUUUCUUUCAUGCUGUAAAAUGUUUACUUCUCUAGAGUGAAAAUGCGUAGGCUGUCAUUAUGUGACUCUACAGUUCCACACUGAUAAAGGCUACCUGUUGCCUUUAUUUUUCUAAGCUAGUAAGCAACUGCCAAAUUCACUGGAAUAGUCCCAGAGACUUAUUUAUAUAUAUAUAUAUAUAUAUAUAUUUUGUUUCUUUUCAUUGUUUCAGAUUUGAUGUUACAUGACUGAUAACAACAUUUUGUGUUUUGCUACUCUUGCUGUCUUUGACUGUGCCGGUUAGCCUCUGCUUUUUCACAGAAGUCAGCCAAGCUAAGACUUUCUUUUUGAUUCAUGCAGGUUGUAAGGUCAGUUCUGGUAGGUAUGAUUUGCUAAUGAAUUCGUGCUCCAUUUCUCAGCUGGCUGGUUCUGCGAGUAGGCCUGGACAAAUACAUUGACAUUUGAAUUUAAGGUGACAUUGAGACUUAGGUAGAAAACAUUUGAGAAUAGAUUCAGAAACCUCUACAAUGCAAAAGAAAUAUUACAUAGAAUAAAUAAAAACAUUCUGAUAAUGAGAACAUAUAUAUGUUUAUGUAUAAAUGUUAUAUAUUAUCUGUGUUACUGAUUACAAAAUUUAUGUAAUUUCAUAUGUGUCAGCAUCAGUCUGAGGGAUUCUUCUGUGCUCCAAAGAAAAGGGAAAAGUGAAGAGCAAGCAAAGAAAGGGAAAGGGUGUCAUGUGGCAAACAGCAUUUCCAGGACAUUCAUUCUUAAUGUGGAAUCAAGAAACAGCAUAUUCUGCAGAACAAAGGAAAUAGUCCUUCUUCUAGGGCAGAGUUUCUCAAAGAUAUCUUGAAUAAUUUCAGUGAAGAUCCAGGGUCCCAGGAGAUCAUUUAUAACUCUUUAAUAAGGAAAAGGUAAGUUUCCUUUGAAGAGCUUACAGCACCACCUGAAUGACUG
rnacentral:lncRNA from 1 species